rnacentral:hammerhead_ribozyme from 1 species
AUCCAACUGACGAGUCCCAAAUAGGACGAAACGGCCGUCAAACUAGAU